UGUUUUUCAAGAGUUAUUGCCCUUGACUUAGUAAAAUUUUGCAAUUUUCAACAUGUGUCGCAUGUAACUCAAAAAGUAUUUGACCUAGAGUCAUGUAACUUUACAGGAAUAUUGAUCAGCAUGUGCAGUUGUGCACCAGGUAUUUUUGUCUGGAUUUAUUUAGUAUUUUUAGAGUUAUUGCCCUUCACUUAGAAAAUUUUUGCAAUUUUCAACUUGUGUCGCAAGUUACUCAAAAGGAUUUGACAUAGUCAUUAAACCUUAUGGGCAGGUUGCUCAGCAUAUUUAGAUUUGCACCUGGGGUUUCGCUUGUGGAUUUAUCCAGUAUUUGUAGAGUUAUUUCCCUUGACUUAGUAAAAAGAUUGACAGAACAGUGGCGCGGUGGGGGCACCCGUGUCCUAUGGACACAUUUCUAGUUAAUACAUGUACAAAUACAUGUACAUUGUUUAAAUAAAUAAUGUUCAGAGCUCAUCACGAUUGAGUCGGCACACAUUUUCUGCAUUGUAUCCCCAUUUCUCUCUUUUGAAAAAUCAAACGAAAAUCUACUUUACAAAAAAUGUAUUAUGUCAUGAGCUAUUAUUGCACGUAAAUGCUGUUUGUUUGUAAACACUCAUUUUCUGUGUUUUACUUUGGAAUAAACAAAUUAGAAUUGGUAAAAUCCAUGAUUACAGGCAAUGAUUAAGAUAUCUUGUUAUACAAUAUGGUCAUUUCGAUUAAACGGUAAAAAAUAACGUAAACGUUUACGAAUGAAAAUCAAAACGAAUCCGUUUAAACUUGCAACCGUUGGGGCCUUAUCUGUAUAUUUGUUAUUUUUUGUUUGUUUGUUUUUUUUCAUCUGUUUGUUUGCUUGUUUCUGUUGAAAGGUUUUUAGCAAGCCAAUACUAGGGUUUUUAGCAAGUCAAUACUAGGUUUUUAGCAAGCCAAUACUAGGUUUUAAGCAAGCCAAUACUAGGUUUUUUAGCAAGCCAAUAAUAGGUUUUUAGCAAGCCAAUACUAGGUUUUUUAGCAAGCCAAUAAUAGGUUUUUAGCAAGCCAAUACUAGGUUUUUAGCAAGCCAAUACUAGCUUUUUUAGCAAGCCAAUACUAGGUUUUUAGCAAGCCAAUACUAGGUAUUUAGCAAGCUAAUACUAGGUUUUAGCAAGCAAAUACUAGGUUUUUAGCAAGCCAAUACUAGGUUUUUAACAAGCCAAUACUAGGUUUUUUAGCAAGCCAAUACUAGGUUUUUUAGCAAGCCAAUACUUGGAUUUUUUAGCAAGUCAAUACUUGGUUUUUAGCAAGCCAAUACUAGGUUUUUUAGCAAGCUAAUACUAGGUUUUUUUAGCAAGCCAAUACUAGGUUUUUUAGCAAGCCAAAACUACCUGUAUGAUUGGAUGUAUUAUGUACACAAAUACUUACUACUGUAAAGUCUAUUAUGUUAGCGAGUAAAACAAUACUGGGAUCCAUCUUUCCUUCGUUAUUUCCCGUUUUAGAAAUUUAGAAAUCGAUGAACAUAUUUAGGUGAUCUAUUUUAAGGUAUACAUGUAUAUGCCUCCAUGGCUUCAUGCUGGGCACCCUUAUUUACAAUUACAAGGGGUAUUUAUAGAUAUAAUAUAGGCAAGUAACGAAGCUGUUGCAUCCAUUUUCACAGUUAUUUCCUGUAUAGCACCAUAUUAAUUAUUAGACGAUAAUAUCACGGAUUUAUAUAUAAAUCCGUGAUAUUAUGGAAUGAAAUAUCAAAUGUUACCAUACGAUCAUUGUACAGCAAUUCAUUCUGGUGAAGUAUUAAAUUUUAACUGUUA